GAGGCUCCACUGCUCUUCCUGGGAUCAACUGUUCCUAGAAGAGAAGCAGGACCCUCUCUCACCCCACCCCCAACCUUGACUGUCACCAAAGAAGAAGCCAGAGAGGGGAGCCCCCCACUACUGUGGCCUAGGAGCUUGGAAGACAAUACUGAGACAGACACCUGUGCUGUGGGCUCCCCAAAUCUGCCAGCAAAGGACUCUCGAGGAUUCAAGGACUCAGUGACCAAGGAGCUGCAAACAGCCCGGCCAAGCAGGGAGCAGACUUAGAGGACACCACACUCCCGUCCCCUCCCUGAUGCCAAAGAAGCAUGGCUGUGAGGCUCCAGGAGGUUUCUGGAAAGCACCUGCAACUCCCCUCCCAUCAGUUCAAGAACAGAGAUCACACAGGUUUGCAUCAACC
rnacentral:lncRNA from 1 species